rnacentral:lncRNA from 13 species
AGGCACAAUUUACAGAGCAAACAAUAGGUUCAAUUUUGGCAUUUCCCGAUGUGGGCAAGGUCACAGGGCUGUUCUUGGCAGGCAGUUCUCAUCCACGUGCUCACUGGCCCUCGCAGGCUGAUGUCAGAGAUGACACAUGGGUCAGGGAGCUCAGAUGCUUGAAUAGUGACACAGCUGGAACCCCACGUAGAACACGGGAGAGGAAAGCAGAGUGAGUUGAGUAAACAUCCUGUGACUUAUUUUACCCAGGCCCUAUUCAAGAUGGAGUUGCUCUGGCUCACACACCUGUGACCACAAAAGAAAGACUGGAUGACUGUGUGAGUGAUCAACCAACCAAACAAAAGAGAGGGAUCCUCCAUGAGGAGUGUGUCCAGACAGGAGCUGCUCUCCUUUUAGACUGUGCCCAAGAUAAACACAUAUGGAACAGAUCUGAUCCCAACCCACAGCCUGCGGCCAUGCCUGGCAGAGCCCAGCCUGGAUCAGCCAAGUCACGCUUGACCUGUGGACCUGAAUCCGCUGGUCUCCAUGGAUGGCAUCUUUUAUAUCCUACUAAGUUAGGAGAUGAAUUGCAUCAGCAGCAAGGCAAGCAACAACAAAGAGAUUUGCCCUUGAAACUUUUUGGAUGCCAUGACUUCCAUGAGGAUGGUAGAAACUCCCUCUGCUUGUGAGAUUAAAUUGGCUGAAAUUGAUUGGAACCGAUGUGGGCAUGUGAAGUUUGCACAGAAUGAGCUUGCUGAUGUCACAGCCUGAAUUUCCACCACACGUUUCACACUAACUCUCCCCGAGUUUGUAUAUGGAGCCCACGAGGUAGCAUGAAGAGGUAACUGUGCACCCUCAAGGACUUUCCAGACCUCUUCUUUCCUUCCACCAUCACCUGCUAAUCCCAGAAUCCACCCCCUAAACCUGCCUCAGUGGGCUGGGUUGAAGAAGACAGGCAAGGAAAAACGCACACUCCGUCAGUGGUGAUCAGGGUGGUAAGGAAAAGUCAAACGCAGCAACGUGGAUCCUUGGGAGGGCAUCCUUUCUAAGGCGGUGAUUCUAUUUUGAUAGAAAAUGACUGCCUCAAAGCCAGCACAGAGAGAUAAAUUUGAGCUGACCUCCUGUGUCCUUGUUGGUUAAAGUGCAAUAAAAAGCUUUUCUUUUCUCA